UGUGGCAACUUGGAGGAGGGGAAGCGAAGAUGCAGUCAGACAAUAACUACAUCAGCCCAUACUGUCUUCUCACCAUUUGAGGAUGAUGCCAUAAGAGCCAGAUGGAACAUGCACAUGCAAAAAAUGGUUUGUGCACCACCAGACAGAAACCACAAGGUGAAAUUAUGAAUCUUGGAGUUUCUGUACUGCAUAUAGCCCCCUCUCCUAAAAGACCAGAAUGAGAAUGAAGAUAUCAUGAUCCUCAGGAGACCAAGCUCCCACAUUUUUGUUGCACCAACAUUAACAACAAUUGUUGCUCAUGAAGCAGGUUGCUUGCUUAGGCUCCUGAUUCCAACAUUUAUAUGCCUUCUAGGCAACAGGAAGAAGAAAAGAGAAAAAGAGAAUGAGAAGAGUAAGUUUUUUUCUAUUCAAGUACAAUUCCAGUUAGUUUCUUGCACCACUUUAUGUUAUACACACCAUACCCCAAAAUCAACUCAAGAUGAAUUAAAGAAUGAAAUUUAAAACCCCAAACUGUAAAAACCCUGGAAGACAAUCUAAGAAAUCCCAUCUGGGUCUUAGGAAUGGGAAAAGAUUUCAUAACAAAGACACCAAAAGCAAUUGCAACCAAAACAAAAAUUGACGAAUGGGAUCUAAUUAAAUUUAAGGUCUUCUGUACAGCUAAAGAAACUAUCAACAGAGUAAACAAACAUCCUACAAGAUUGGAGAAGAUAUUUGCAAACUAUACAUCUGACAAAGGUCUAAUAUCCAGCAUCUAUAAGGAACUUACAAAUUUACAAGAGAAAAACAAACAGCCCUGUUAAAAAGUGAGCAAAACACAUGACAUACAUUCUCAAAAGACUACAUACAUGCAUCCAACAAGCAUAUGAAAAACCACUCAGUAUCAUUGAAUAUUAGAGAAAUGCAAAUCAAAAUAACAAUGAGAUAUCAUCUCACACCAGUCAGAAUGGUAAUUAUUAAAAAACUAAAUAACAACCGACCCUGGUGAGGUUAUGUCAAAAAAGGAGCACUUAUAUACACUCUUGGUGGAAGUGUAAAAUAGUUCAACCAUUGUGGAAAGCAGUAGUCAAUUCCUCAAAGAGCUAAAAGCAGAAAUACCAUUUGACCCAGCAAUCCCAUUACUAAGCAUAUACCCAGAGGAAUAUAAAGCACCAGGGAUCCCAUUACUGAGCAUAUACCCAGAGGAAUAUAAAGCUUUCUACCAUAAAGACACAUGCACAUGAAUGUUUAUUGCAGCUCUAUUCACAAUAGCAGAAACAUGGAAUCAACCUAAGUGCCCAUCAAUGACAGAUUAGAUAAAGAAAAUGUGAUACAUAUACACCACGGAAUACCAUGCAGCCAGAAAAAAAUGAUGAAGUCAUUUCUGUUGUGGAAACAUGAAUGGAGCUGGAGGCGCUUAUCCUUAGCAAACUGACACAGGAACAGAAAUCCAAAUACUGCAUGUUCUCACUUAUAAGUGGGACCCAAAUGAUAAGAACUUAUGAACACAAAGAAGGAAACAACAGACACUGGAGUCCACUUGAUGGGGGAGGGUGGG
rnacentral:lncRNA from 1 species